rnacentral:rRNA from 1 species
UACGUAGGGGGCAAGCGUUGUCCGGAAUCAUUGGGCGUAAAGAGCGUGUAGGCGGCCUGGUAAGUCCGCUGUGAAAGUCCAGGGCUCAACCCUGGAAUGCCGGUGGAAACUGUCAGGCUCGAGUCCGGAAGAGGCGAGUGGAAUUCCUGGUGUAGCGGUGAAAUGCGCAGAUAUCAGGAGGAACACCGGUGGCGAAGGCGGGUCUCUGGGCAGUAACUGACGCUGAGGCGCGAAAGCGUGGGGAGCGAACAGG